GCUUUCUCCGCUGACGAGCGGCGGACGGGUGAGUAAUGUCUGGGGAUCUGCCUGAUGGAGGGGGAUAACUACUGGAAACGGUAGCUAAUACCGCAUAACGUCGCAAGACCAAAGUGGGGGACCUUCGGGCCUCAUGCCAUCAGAUGAACCCAGAUGGGAUUAGCUAGUAGGUGGGGUAAUGGCUCACCUAGGCGACGAUCCCUAGCUGGUCUGAGAGGAUGACCAGCCACACUGGAACUGAGACACGGUCCAGACUCCUACGGGAGGCAGCAGUGGGGAAUAUUGCACAAUGGGCGCAAGCCUGAUGCAGCCAUGCCGCGUGUAUGAAGAAGGCCUUCGGGUUGUAAAGUACUUUCAGUAGGGAGGAAGGUGUGAGCGUUAAUAGCGUUCACAAUUGACGUUACCUACGGAAGAAGCACCGGCUAACUC
rnacentral:rRNA from 1 species